GACGAACGCUGGCGGCGUGCUUAACACAUGCAAGUCGAACGGAAAGGCCCCUUUGGGGGUUCUCGAGUGGCGGACGGGGGCGUAACACGAACGUAACCUUCCCUUGCCUUCGGGAUAACUUCAGGAUAGUGGGGCUAAUACCGGAAAGGAAUCCUUUCUGCAUGGUGGGGGUUGGAAAGCUUCGGCGGGUUUGGAUGGACUGGCGGGUUAUCGGCUUGUUGGGGGGGUAGUGGCUUACCAAGGCGGGUACGGGUAGCCGGCCUGAGAGGGCGACCGGCCACAUUGGGACUGAGGGGAGGCACAGGCAGCGAAGGGUGGGAGAAGGGGGGAAGAUUGCACAAGGGGCGGAAGCCGGGUGAAGAAGGGCUGCGGGCGGGAUGACGGUCUUCGGGUUGUAAACCGCUUUCAGCAGGGGCGAAGCUUGUGGUGACGGUACCUGCAGAAGAAGCACCGGCUAACUACGUG
rnacentral:rRNA from 1 species